rnacentral:rRNA from 1 species
UCCAAUCGAACUCGGAGAUAGCUGGUUCUCCCCGAAAUAGCUUUAGGGCUAGCGUCGGAUAUGUGUAGUGGAGGUAGAGCACUGAAUGGGCUAGGGGGCAUAUCGCUUACCGAACCUUAUCAAACUCCGAAUGCCAUAUACAUUAAGUCCGGCAGUCAGACUACGAAUGAUAAGAUCCGUGGUCAAAAGGGAAACAGCCCAGACCGUCAGCUAAGGUCCCAAAGUGUAAGUUAAGUGGAAAAGGAUGUGGGAUUUCUAAGACAACUAGGAUGUUGGCUUAGAAGCAGCCACUCAUUUAAAGAGUGCGUAAUAGCUCACUAGUCGAGAGAUCCUGCGCCGAAAAUGUACCGGGGCUAAACUUACCACCGAAGCUACGGAUUUGCAAGUAAUUGCAAGUGGUAGGGGAGCGUCGUAAUCGGGCUGAAGUCGUACCGGAAGGAGCGGUGGACUGAUUACGAGUGAGAAUGUUGGCAUUAGUAGCGAGAUGUAGGUGAGAAUCCUACAGGCCGAAUAUCUAAGGUUUCCUCAGGAAGGCUCGUCCGCUGAGGGUUAGUCGGGACCUAAGCCGAGGCCGAAAGGCGUAGGCGAUGGACAAUCGGUUGAUAUUCCGAUACCACUACCAUCGUUAUUAUCGAGGGUGUGACGGAGAAGGAUAGUGUGUGCUAGCGAUUGGAAAUGCUAGUCUAAGCGUUUAGGGAGUUACGGUAGGCAAAUCCGCUGUAACAAUUCUGAGGCGUGAUGGGGAAGGUCAUUAAGACCGAAGUACAUGAUUCCAUGCUUCCAAGAAAAGCAUCUAGAGAGAGAAGUAGUGCCCGUACCGCAAACCGACACAGGUAGAUGAGGAGAGAAUCCUAAGGCCGGCGGAAGAAUUGCAGUUAAGGAACUAGGCAAAUUGACCCCGUAAGUUCGCGAGAAGGGGUGCCUGCGAGAGCAGGCCGCAGAGAAUAGGCCCAAGCAACUGUUUAGCAAAAACACAGGUCUCUGCUAAAGCGUAAGCUGAUGUAUAGGGGCUGACGCCUGCCCGGUGCUGGAAGGUUAAGGGGAACACUUAGCGCAAGCGAAGGUGUGAACUUAAGCCCCAGUAAACGGCGGCCGUAACUAUAACGGUCCUAAGGUAGCGAAAUUCCUUGUCAGGUAAGUUCUGACCCGCACGAAUGGCGUAAUGACUUGGGCACUGUCUCAACUGCAAAUCCGGCGAAGUUGUAGUGCGAGUGAAGAUGCUCGCUACCCGCGAUUGGACGGAAAGACCCCGUAGAGCUUUACUGUAGCUUAGCAUUGAAUUCCGGUAUUGUCUGUACAGGAUAGGUGGGAGACUGGGAAACUAGGGCGUCAGCCUUAGUGGAGUCAACCUUGGGAUACCACCCUGACAGUACUGGGGUUCUAACAGGACGCCAUGAAGCUGGUGACUGGACAUUGUUAGGUGGGCAGUUUGACUGGGGCGGUCGCCUCCUAAAAAGUAACGGAGGCGCCCAAAGGUUCCCUCAGAACGGUCGGAAAUCGUUCGUAGAGUGCAAAGGCAGAAGGGAGCCUGACUGCGAGACCCACAAGUCGAGCAGGGACGAAAGUCGGGCUUAGUGAUCCGGUGGUACCUCGUGGGAGGGCCAUCGCUCAACGGAUAAAAGCUACCUCGGGGAUAACAGGCUGAUCUCCCCCAAGAGUCCACAUCGACGGGGAGGUUUGGCAC